rnacentral:rRNA from 1 species
AAUGAACGCUGGCGGCAUGCCUAACACAUGCAAGUCGAACGAGACCUUCGGGUCUAGUGGCGCAAGGGUGCGUAACGCGUGGGAAUCUACCCUUGGGUUCGGAAUAACAGUUAGAAAUGACUGCUAAUACCGGAUGAUGACGUAAGUCCAAAGAUUUAUCGCCCAAGGAUGAGCCCGCGUAAGAUUAGCUUGUUGGUGGGGUAAUGGCCUACCAAGGCGACGAUCUUUAGCUGGUCUGAGAGGAUGAUCAGCCACACUGGGACUGAGACACGGCCCAGACUCCUACGGGAGGCAGCAGUGGGGAAUAUUGGACAAUGGGCGAAAGCCUGAUCCAGCAAUGCCGCGUGAGUGAUGAAGGCCUUAGGGUUGUAAAGCUCUUUUACCAGGGAUUAUAAUGACAGUACCUGGAGAAUAAGCUCCGGCUAACUCCGUGCCAGCCGCCGCAGUAA